rnacentral:rRNA from 1 species
UACGUAGGUGGCAAGCGUUGUCCGGAAUUAUUGGGCGUAAAGAGCGCGUAGGCGGGAUGGUAAGUCUGUUGUAAAAGUGCGGGGCUCAACCCCGUAAGGUCAAUGGAAACUGCUAUUCUUGAGUGCAGGAGAGGAAAGUGGAAUUCCCAGUGUAGCGGUGAAAUGCGUAGAUAUUGGGAGGAACACCAGUGGCGAAGGCGACUUUCUGGACUGUGUCUGACGCUGAGGCGCGAAAGCUAGGGUAGCGAAC